GCCCAAGUGGUGGAAUUAGGUAGACACGUCAGAUUUAGGAUCUGAUGCAGAGAUGCGUGCAGGUUCAAGUCCUGUCUUGGGUA
rnacentral:tRNA from 1 species